UAUGUAAAGCAGAAGAAAAACCUGGGGACACCAUCUCUUUUCCUCCACCAUCCACCAUCCUCCAAGUCCCUAUUUACUUCCAGUGGUGCAUCACCAGGCCCAGGAGCACCAGUAUCUGGAGGCUAAAGGCCAACCCGGGGCCCAUGCCACACUGCUUUACAACACCACCAUGAUGACUACAGUUGCCUCCAGAUCCCCUCCUGCCCCCACUGCUGCAACAAACAAGACAAACCACAUACAAGGGGUGGGCGGGAACUUCUCUGUUGGCCAAUGUGUCAACUGACCCCUCUUUUUCCACCCUAACCAUAUCUGAUAGGAUAACCAGCCCCUCUGUCAGUGGGGCUUGCAGCCAUAGCAACAGAAUGAUGCCGCUACCGCUGCAGACACUUGGGCUGUCACUAGACCUCAGGCAGAUAUCACUUCACAUACCAAGGAAUCUUCAGUCAUGGAUUUUUGGCUAAAGAACAUCACAAAAUGUAUCAAAUAGCCGGAGAGGAAGGCGCCUGCUGUAUCCUUAGCAAACAUCAACCACACAGAUCAAGAAGAUGGGAAGCAGCGGGACAUGUUUUUUUUUUUUGAUGUGAUGAGACGUUGAGCCUUGUAGUUCAGCACAGAAUCUGCUGGACAGCUCCUCAGUGAGGUUCAAUACUCGCAGUUAUCGGCCGCAGCGUCUUUUCCGUGUGAUCAGCCCAGAUGACCAUGAUGACUUCCUCCAGCCACAACUUGUCUCAGCAGAAUCUGCCGAACUAAUAUCUUCCCAACUUUGUGGGGGACCCCCUUGGCAUAGGGGCCCAUUGGAAACUGCAACCCCUCUUGCUACA